rnacentral:rRNA from 1 species
AUACGUAGGGGGCGAGCGUCGACCGGAAUGAUUGGGCGUAAAGGGCGCGUAGGCGGCGCGGUAAGUCUGGAGUGAAAGUCCUGCUUUCAAGGUGGGAAUUGCUUUGGAUACUGCCGCGCUUGAGUGCAGGAGAGGUUAUCGGAAUUCCCGGUGUAGCGGUGAAAUGCGUAGAGAUCGGGAGGAACACCAGUGGCGAAGGCGGGUAACUGGACUGCAACUGACGCUGAGGCGCGAAAGUGUGGGGAGCAAACAGGAUUAGAUACCCUGGUCGUCCACACUGUAAACGAUGAAUGCUAGGUGUAAGAGGUAUCGACCCCUUUUGUGCCGGAGUCAACACAAUAAGCAUUCCGCCUGGGGAGUACGGCCGCAAGGUUGAAACUCAAAUGAAUUGACGGGG